rnacentral:lncRNA from 1 species
CAGUCGUAGAGCGCUGGUGUAUGGCCCCCGUAGUCCAAAAGAUAGACAUCUACAAGAACGGAAUCCAGGGAACCCUUUUUAUACCAGCAGGUCCUGGACCAUUCCCUGCUGAGCUGGAGCUAUCUGGGGGAGGAGGGGGUCUGUUUGAGCAUCGCUCCUACCUGUUAGCAUCCUAAAGCUACGUCUCCGUAGUGCUGCAGUACCCCACGGACGUCUAUACAACGGUUUCCAUAGGAUCCAUAGUACUUUGAGGUAUUUUCACAGUUCAUUGUGGAAAAAGAUGCAAGAGGCCUGAAGUGUGUGUGCUCUGGAGUUUGUUGUGAACCUGCCGCCCCUACUUCAGACAGCCUUCACUAUGCUGAGACGAUCCUCAGGUGGCCAGUGAUAGAGGCUAUGUUUGGCUUCUCACUGGGAUUCCUCAUCCCUGGCCGUUUACUCUGAUGUCAUUAACAUGAUUAUUCCACACCUUCCUCUUUGAAAUUGACUUGUUUGAUUGAUAACCAGUUAAUUAGUGAACGCAAAUACUGUAAACAAUUAUUUUACAGGUGCUCUGUAGACACACCCCUCUCCUAUUUCCCAACAUAUUUGUUGAUAAUUCCCCUCUCUUCCAGCCCAGAUGUAUGGUGUGUAUACGUGGCAGCCAUGUUUUCCCUUUCAGAUUGUCGCUUGUGUCAAUAGCUGACAGGUACAACAUGUGAGUGUGUUUUAACCUAUUCUUAAGCAAUGGGAAAUUACCUAAUUUGGAAUGCACUGAAAUUAUAGUUGUAUUUUGCUCAAAUCUCUAGAAAUAUGCACUUUGAUGAGAACAACCAUUUGAUCUGGAGAGACAUGAUCCAGCCCAUCACUGAGAGUGGCCCUAAAGUAGAGGUGAUGGUAUCUUUCAGACUGCAUUGUAUGCACACUAUACUGUAUGUAUUUGUACAGUGAGGAACUGACAUGUGUGUGAACCUAUUUUUUGGCACCAUAGGUCAGGAGGUUAAAGUGUCCAUUACUGAUGGUCAUUGGAGAAGCUGACCAGAACUGUGCCACUACAGAAUCUGUCCAGGAUGUAAGUACUGUAUAUUUAAGUUAUUUAGUAGACAUUUGUCCAGAGCAACAUACAUGAGCAAUUAGUGUU